UGGCUCAGAACGAACGCUGGCGGCAGGCCUAACACAUGCAAGUCGAGCGAGGACUUCGGUCCUAGCGGCGGACGGGUGAGUAACGCGUGGGAAUAUGCCCUUUUCUACGGAAUAGCCUCGGGAAACUGGGAGUAAUACCGUAUACGCCCUACGGGGGAAAGAUUUAUCGGAGAAGGAUUAGCCCGCGUUGGAUUAGGUAGUUGGUGGGGUAAUGGCCUACCAAGCCGACGAUCCAUAGCUGGUUUGAGAGGAUGAUCAGCCACACUGGGACUGAGACACGGCCCAGACUCCUACGGGAGGCAGCAGUGGGGAAUCUUAGACAAUGGGGGAAACCCUGAUCUAGCCAUGCCGCGUGAGCGAUGAAGGCCUUAGGGUUGUAAAGCUCUUUCAGCUGGGAAGAUAAUGACGGUACCAGCAGAAGAAGCCCCGGCUAACUCCGUG
rnacentral:rRNA from 1 species